rnacentral:rRNA from 1 species
UACGUAGGGGGCAAGCGUUGUCCGGAAUCAUUGGGCGUAAAGAGCGUGUAGGCGGCUCGGUAAGUCCGCUGUGAAAGUCCAGGGCUCAACCCUGGAAUGCCGGUGGAAACUGUCGAGCUAGAGUCCGGAAGAGGCGAGUGGAAUUCCUGGUGUAGCGGUGAAAUGCGCAGAUAUCAGGAGGAACACCGGUGGCGAAGGCGGGUCUCUGGGCCGAUACUGACGCUGAGGAGCGAAAGCAUGGGUAGCGAACAGG